AGGGCCUCCCUGUGCUGAUGAAAGCCAGCCCAGCCCUCACCGUGCAGCUCUGCAGAGGAGUGCAGCCCUCUGAUGAUCAGGCCUGAGCACAGGCGGCUCACCAUGGAGUUUGCAAUGAUCUGGAUUUUCCUCCUUUUCAUUUUAAAAGGUGUCUUGUGUGAGGAGCAGCUGGUAGAGUCCGGGGGAGGCUUGGUGCAGCCCGGGGGGUCCCUGAGACUCUCGUGCGUGGCCUCGGGAUUCACCUUCAGUGAUUACUACAUGAGCUGGAUCCGCCAGUCUCCAGGGAAGGGGCUGGAGUGGAUUGCAGGCAUCAAUGAUGAUAGUAGUGAUACACAAUAUGCAAACUCGGUGAAGGGUCGAUUCACCAUCUCCAGGGACAACGGCAAGAACACGCUGUAUCUGCAGAUGAGCGGCCUGAGACCCGAGGACACGGCUGUGUAUUACUGUGCUGGACACAGUGAGAAAGUGUUACUGUGA